UUCAUUGAAUUUUUAGGUACUUCUUUGUUACCUAACACAUUUGCAUGUUACUGGUCAUCAUGAACUAGAAAAAAAUUUAUGUAGCUGAUUAAUGGUCUCUAAGAGAUGAAAUGCUCUGUCUUUUUUACUAUUAAUUGCUAGGCUCAGGAAAAAUACUCCGAGCUGAAUUCAUCUUUGCAUGCAUUGGAUGAAGGUAGAUGUUACACUAUACUGUUUUCAGAGCCAGUUUUGUAUUGUUUGGUUUCUUGUGUCUGAUCAAACUCAUCAGGGAAACCACGAAAGAGGUUGUUUAUUCUUCUCCCUGUGAUGAGGUUUCUCUCCUUUUUGUGAAGCACUGGUGCUCUUACUUAAAAUUAAAGCUCUCGAGUAAUGGCACUACAACCAAGAAUAAUGUAAAAAAAAAAUUUUUUUUUGUCUAAAGCCAAUUCCCUCUUAAAUUCUGCAGCCAGUCUUUUAUUCUUGGGAUAUAACAGGCACUGGUUAAAUACAGAAUCUGACAGAAUACUGAGCAUAUUCUUUAUGCUUAGCAAAUAACUCUGUACAAUAUUAACUAAUACUCUCAUUCUGGCUUUUUCUCCUAGAAACUAGGAUUCCUUAUGUAGCUUUUGGCUCUCAUUUGUCCUUCUGAAAUUCAAAAUGGAGGUUGGAUUCUUUCCAUUUGUUUUCUCUGACUUCGGGGAGAAUUUUCCAGCUAUGUAGAGAAGGCAGCUUCUGAGAAUGGAAACAGGAACCUCUGCACAGAAACUCUGAUACUGAGAAACAAAGCACCAUUUGUGAUUUAUGGGUUUAAUACUUUUAACACUUAAAAUAAUGAAAAAUGUUCUUCAUGUCUUAUAUAAGCUUUGUGUUAAGGUCUGGGGGCUUUAUUUUCAUUGUACUUUCUUAGAGUGUUUAAAAACCUAUGAGUUUGGAAGACCAAGUUCUUCAGUCCCCAGAAAAUCUGUUACAGAAUAUUACUGACUGCUCAUGGAGUGUUUGCUAGAUAUUAAUUCAAGAGAGUGCUUUUAAUGGUUUCAUUGAAUAUCCACUAAAACCGAUGGAAAGUCUUCUGUGAACUGAGGCUUAAAAAAGUCUUUGUGCUGCACUACUUUGCUUACAGGUACAUCCUGUUUAAACUGCAAAUGUGUUCCCUGGCUAUUUAGCUGGGCAGCUGGCUUGCAGGCUAAGAACUUUUCAAAAAAUUGUUUAGGUCCUAUCAAAACGCCCUCAAAACAAUGUUCUGUUUCCUCUGGGAAUUCUUAAUUCCCGACUUUGCAUUCUGAAUGUGUAGUGGAAGAAUCAGAAAUGUAAAUGUAGCUGGGUGGGUAAUCUAGUUCCAGUAUCACUGUAGUGUACCAUAGAUGUAUAAAUUCAAAUAUAUGCAGAUUGUUCAGCUUGGAAAAGAGGAGACUGAAUGGGAAUGUGAUAGAAGUUUACAGGACUUUACAUGUGGUGCAAAGGUGAGUAGGGCAUGGUCUUUCACUUUUUUCCCAACAGAAGUAGUAUUUGAAUUAAGUUGUCAGGCAUCAGUUUUAAAACAUAUGGAAAGAUGCGUCUUCAGAGACUGGGUAUUUAAACUAUAAAAUUCAUUGCCAAAAGAUACUAUGGAGGCCAAAAAUAUUCAGAAAGGAAUCAUAAAAUACUGGAUGGAGGACAGAGUUAUCUGAUUUGGAUAUAUGCAUACAAAAGGGUUUGGAUGCAACUUUUAAAUGAAAGAAGUCCCCAAACCAAUUUUUAGAAUUUGGGAGGAUUUACAACGUUAAGAAUUAUUCUCUAUGCGCUGUGAAUUUUAUCCUCUUUCUAUAAAAUGUAAUAAAUAAAAUAAACUUUUUUGAAUCCAACUUCAGUAUGGGAUGCAUAAAGGCAUUUACACUGUAAAUAAUGAUGAUUCUAAUGGCUUCUAGAUAAAUGCUCUAAAAACUGAACUCAUUUUCCAUAGAAGUAUUUACUCCUCCAAGUUAAAUGCACAUGACCAAUCUUCAAGGGGAUACAACAAGCCUGCCAGUUUCCAGGAGAAUGUGGUGGCAGUUCUGUUUCACUGCUGCAAGGUUAGAGUGAUUUUUUUUGUGAUAUUUCCAGCAGGACAAACUAAAAAGCCAGCUGGAAAAUACUGAUAAGCAUUACAUAAAAGAUUUUAAAAUGCCACACUUUGCAAUCCAUUCCAAUCCCAAUUAGCAGCAAUCUUUCACCCUCGUGUUUGAAAUAAUCCCUUCAUGCAUAUACUGGAUUCUGCAUGCACAUUCAUACUCUUAAAAAUUGUUUAAACAAUGUAGAAAGCACAUAACACUGUAUGGUGUUCACAAGGAAAAUGAAGAUUUUUUUCCUCUUUAAAAGAUACUAUUCUCAGAUAAAAGUCUCCUUAACAUGCAAUAAGAACUCCAAUAUUUUCCUAUAAUAAUUAUAAGAAAAAUAAAAGAAAUGCACUUUGGUGCUGUGAGCUAUGUUUUUAGUCAACACCAUUAAAAAAGCAGUAGGCGAGUAAUUAAGAAUGUGGCUUUCAUUUUCUUUUCAUUUUUGAUCCAAGUAUGUCCAUAAGAUUGUAUAUGUAUGCCACAUACAUGUUCUUAAAAAUAUUAAUGUUUAAUCUGGAUGAUACUCAUUGAAAUGGGAAUAAAAGCCAGUUUGUGCUUAAAAUACUGUAACUAUUGAUCACUCAUUGAAGACUUAUUUUAGAACAUGACUUCAAGUUUAACUGUAACUCGGCAUUGAAAGAUCUAAAGUGAAGUGUGAAAGUUUUCUAUGGUUUUAAAUUAGUAUAGGUUUUGCUUAUGAAUAUUUAAUGCGAUAUUUAAUAUGAUAUUUAAGCUGACUAGAUCCAAGUGAUGCCUUCACUCCAGAAAGCCCUUUAUGAUCGUAUGCACAUAUAGAUACCUAAGCAUAUUAAAUAUUUGGGUUUCUUAAAGUGCUGACCACAAUAUCCUGUAUUCUAUGUGAAACUGUCUGUCAUGAGCUUGCUCUCUAGCGUAUGUUCAUUAACUUUCCCUUUUCCGUUCCUUGAAGGUGGUAUUCUUAUAUAAAUCUUACAGCACAAGCUUCAGAGCCUGCUCUGAAGGGCUUUCUGACUGCUUUUAAAACUGCUGUGCAUAUGCAAGAUGCAGUUGAUGCAUUGACUCCCUCAAAGAGUCAGUGGCAUGAAGGUUUGAGAUCAGACUGCUGGGAAAGAAAACAGCAAAAAAAAAACCUCAGGUUGACUCAACAUAUACAGCUGUUUAUUUUUUUGAAUUCAUUUAUUUUACAACAGAAAAAAAAAACACUACAAAACCUAGGCAACAAAUACUUGCUUUGGAGCACAUUCUGGGUGUAAGGUUAGAUCUUUUGCUUAAGGUAAGUCCCCUUUGCCUUACUUCCCAGGUGCAAAGUAAUUUUAAAGCUCUCUAGAAGAAUCUUCCCAGAUCUCUAAGCCAGUGCAUUUGCCAGCUGACAUUACUUAGUGAUCUAUUUUUGCCUUAAGCUGCGUAACUCUUGACCAGCUCUAAGAUGCUGUGUAGGUAAGCCAGUUUAGAGAUCCACUUCUGACUUUACCAGAAGUUUAAUCUCUCCCCAGUCAAUACAGUUAAUUUUUUUUUCUUACAAAAUUAGACUUAAAGGCAUAAAAUAGAAAUACGUUUCUCAGGUUUGUGCCUUUUACAGAAACUAAAUACUAGUAGUUACUGGUUUGCUUGACAAAAGUGAGUAUGUUGAUAUGUCUGUAGUUUAAUCUGAAGAGGGACAAGUGUUGCCCUGAUACAGAGUUGAGAUAUGUUCAGGACAUGCAGUGGACUUGCAGACUGGAAACAUUUUGAAGUCUACUAAUUAGGACCUUGCCUUAGCAUCUUGACUGGAAGAUGACCGGUCGUCUUAGCAUCUUAAACCAGAAUGCAAACGUGUUUGCUGCUAAUAGUUACUGAGAAAAUGAUAAUGAUGUCUGCUGAUGACACAAACUAGAUAUGAAUGCCAAACAUACUAGUAACUGAUUAUAACUUGCAGGCAAGUCUGUUCCAUCAAAAGAUAAAUAUCUUACUCCUUUCCUACCAUGACAACAUAGUUGGGUAUAAAGAAAACCAAAGAGUGCAUAUGAAAAAAAAAUUCAUGAAUACAUACAUUAAAAAUAACAAGUUAAAACAAUGGAGAAGGAAUAUGAAUUACACUGUCCUGCAAUUGUUUUCAUUGCUUCAAUUUUUCUACAUGAAAUCUUGUUUAAAAAAGUUCAGUGCGGUAUUCUUAGCAGACUUUAAUUGGUAGAAUGAUUAAAUUGAUCAAACCCUUUGAUAAAAGUGCUUCUUAAAGGUUUUCACACUUCUGUUGUCCAACAUUGUUCCUAAAAGUUAGCAGCUACCUCAUGCCUUUUUUGUAAGUGUUCUCAGGUGACUGUUGUCAUUAUGUUUCAAUGAAGUAUAAUAAAACACCGUAUCAUAUAAGUCUGCAUCUCA